AACUAGAGCUGCUUAUUGGACGGGCCCGACUGGAUUUGAAUUGGGCUCAGUCGAAGAUACCGCACCAAAUUUAACAUCUGAGCCCAACAUUCGGGCCUACUUCUCAGCCUAAGCCUCCUCCACAUUCGGUCAUCAGAUGUUCUUCUAAGCAAAAUUUUAUUCUAAUGUUCUUCUUUUCCGCUCUUAGGAUGGAGGCUCUCGGAUGGGGUUAUGAAUAAUG
rnacentral:lncRNA from 1 species